UGGCGAUGGUUGUUUGUGAUCCCGACCUCUUAUUCUCUCAUUAGAAACAACUGGCCAGCGAGACAAAAUAUGUAUUCCAUGGAAGCUCACACUUUUAUCAGGGCAAGAAGAUGAGCAACCCCCAACAUAACUAACAGCUGCUGAUUGCCAAACAUAGCAGGUUGUCGUCAGGGGCUACGAUGCCCCAAGAACCUGAUGGAAAACCAUAUGCCAGCCACCCCCAGAGGAGGCGGGCCCACCGUGGUCAGCCUCGUGAGGGCUCUUCUCCGACCACCCAUGGAAACUACUACUUGGGUCAAGCAAGAGGGGGGAAACGGAGGCAGGUAAAAUACCGUGAAUCCUCCCCGCGGCCAAAACGAAUUGAAGAAGAAAUUCGAGGAUUUCUCACCUGCCAGGGUCGACGAGCCGGCGGAAUUCGCGGCGGGAGGCUCGAACGGGGGGACUGGGGACGGCCGGAGUGCAGCUCGGGCGGCAAGAUCGGAACUUGGCGCGGCGGUGUGGACUGGUUGUGAGGGAAGAUUCGUGGGUUGGCGAUUUCGUGGCUUCCGGCGAGCAGUGGAGAGAGAAUUCCACGAGAUUCGCNNNNNN
rnacentral:lncRNA from 1 species